CGCAAGCCUGACGGAGCAAGACCGCGUGGGGGAGGAAGGCUCUAGGGUUGUAAACCCCUUUUCUUUGGGAAGAACAAAAUGACGGUACCAAAGGAAUCAGCCUCGGCUAACUCCGUGCCAGCAGCCGCGGUAAUACGGAGGAGGCAAGCGUUAUCCGGAAUUAUUGGGCGUAAAGAGUCCGUAGGUGGUUCAUCAAGUCUGCUGUUAAAGCGUGCAGCUCAACUGCAUAUAGGCAGUGGAAACUGUUGAACUAGAGUAUGGUAGGGGUAGGGGGAAUUCCCAGUGUAGCGGUGAAAUGCGUAGAGAUUGGGAAGAACACCGGUGGCGAAAGCGCUCUGCUGGGCCGCAACUGACACUCAGGGACGAAAGCUAGGGGAGCG
rnacentral:rRNA from 1 species